GCAGCCCCGACUUCUCGGGCUUAAGUUAUCUUCCCGCCGCAGCCUCCACGCCCGAAAGAAAAGAAUGGAGGAAACCGAGGCUCGGAGACAGUAGGUAAUUUCCCCAAGGUUCCACAGCUAAUGAGUGGAGCGGCGAUUUGUGGAACGAAAUGAAUGAAAUCGAUGUGGCAGCGGGCCCGGACGGGUCGGUGGCGUAGACGCGGAGCGCGCAGCUCACACCUGGCGGCCGCGGUUUCCAGGAGGAAGCAAGGAUGCUUUGGACACUGUGCGUGGCGCCUCCGCGGAGCCCCCGCGCUGCCAUUCCCGGCCGUCGCUCGGUCCUCCGCUGACGGGAAGCAGGAAGUGGCGGCGGGCGUCGCGAGCGGUGACAUCACGGGGGCGACGGCGGCGAAGGGCGGGGGCGGAGGAGGAGCGAGCCGGGCCGGGGGGCAGCUGCACAGUCUCCGGGAUCCCCAGGCCUGGAGGGGGGUCUGUGCGCGGCCGGCUGGCUCUGCCCCGCGUCCGGUCCCGAGCGGGCCUCCCUCGGGCCAGCCCGAUGUGACCGAGCCCAGCGGAGCCUGAGCAAGGAGCGGG
rnacentral:lncRNA from 1 species